CCCUUAGACGUUCUGGGCCGCACGCGCGCUACACUGACCAGUGCAACAAGCAUCCGUCCUUGGCCGACAGGCCCGGGCAAUCUUUGAACGCUGGUCGUGAUGGGGAUAGACUUUUGCAAUUUUUGGUCUUCAACGAGGAAUUCCUAGUAAACGCAAGUCAUCAACUUGCAUUGAUUACGUCCCUGCCCUUUGUACACACCGCCCGUCGCACCUACCGAUUGAAUGGUCCGGUGAAGCCUCCGGAUUGGCGCGCACCUCGGUGCCGCCGAGAAGUUGGCUAAACCUUAUCAUUUAGAGGAAGGUGAAGUCGUAACA
rnacentral:rRNA from 1 species